rnacentral:rRNA from 1 species
GAUGAACGCUGGCGGCGUGCCUAAUACAUGCAAGUCGAGCGAACAGACGAGGAGCUUGCUCCUCUGACGUUAGCGGCGGACGGGUGAGUAACACGUGGAUAACCUCCCUAUAUGACUGGGAUAACUUCGGGAAACCGGAGCUAAUACCGGAUAAUAUAUUGAACCGCAUGGUUCAAUAGUGAAAGACGGUUUUGCUGUCACUUAUAGAUGGAUCCGCGCCGCAUUAGCUAGUUGGUAAGGUAACGGUUUACCAAGGCAACGAUGCGUAGCCGACAUGAGAGAGUGAACGGCCACACUGUAACUGAGACACGGUCCAGACUCCUACGGGGGGCAGCAGUAUGGAAUCUUCCACAAUGGGCGAAAGCCUGACGGAGCAACGCCGCGUGAGUGAUGAAGGUCUUCGGCUCGUAAAACUCUGUUAUUAGGGAAGAACAAAUGUGUAAGUAACAAUGCACGUCUUGACGGUACCUGAUCAGAAAGCCACGGCUAACUACGUG